UGUCCCCGGCCCGUGGACCACGACCCGCCACGCCCCCAACUGCGGGCCACGCCCCAUCCAGUGGCCCCGUCCAGACUCCGCCCACCUCAGGCCCUACCUCGUCAAGGCCCCGCCCCGUGCUUCCGUCCCUCUGCAGGUCCAGGAGAACAUGCUCUACGUUAUCACUGGUCCUAGACUGGGGACGAUGUGGAGACCCACAGACUGAAGCAGAGCUGUUCCAGCCACUUGCAGACCUCACAUACAGCCACCUGCACAUGUGGAGCUUGGUCUGGGAGGCUGCCUGCUCCCCCUUCGAGCCUGGGUGGCAUGUGUCCAGGUGCCACCCCUAAGCGGAAGAGCCUUUCCUGGGGUGGUGUGCAGAUGGCCACAAGGGAGGCAAGGUGGCCCAGGGAGGAAGAGAGAAGCCCAGGAGAAGCCAGCUCAGGAUACCUCUUGGACAUGGCAUGAGAGCGCGCUGUCUUUGGCAUGUUCCGCAGGAGAAAUCCAUCAGAGGAAGUGAGAGUGAAGAUUGGGACAAUCACAGGACCAUUGUACUCGGAUUUUGGGAGAAUGAUCAUCCAAUAAUCCUCAGACGCUCCCCAUAGCCUUGGGCAAUUUCCUGUCCAGCUGGAGGAUAAGACCCUCACAAGAAGAGGUGGUUACUCAACGGUCCUCAAUACAAGGUGCUACAAAGCCACAAAACUAACCAGAAACCAAAGGUGUAAAUGAACACCAAGAUGGCAGCUCCAGGCACAUGUGUCAAAAUCAUCUUUCCCAAAUUGAGAUAGAAGGCAGGACUCAACUCUGGACCAGACUGAAGACUAGCUAAAACAGUGAAGAGGGGAAUGCACCUCUCCAUAAGACAUGCCCAGAGGGCCAUGUCAGUUUACCAUUGCCAUGGCAACACCCAGAACUUACCGCCCCUUUCCACGGCGACAACCAAAAUUAACGAGCAGACCCUAAAAUUGACAAGGAAAUGCAAGGUACCCAGAGCAGCCAAAUGAUCUUGAAAAAGAACAAAGUAGGACUCGCACUUUCUGAGUUAAAACUGACUUCAAAACUCCAUUAAUCAAGACAGUGUGUUCCUGGCAUAAGAGUAAACAUAUAGAUGAAUGGAGCAGAAUUUUUAGUGCAGAAAUAAACUUUUAAAUCAUGGACAUUCAACUUUUGACAGAGUUGCCAAGACAGUUCAAUGGGGGAAAUGUUAGUCUUUUCAACCAAUGAUGCUGGGACAACUGGAUAUCCAUUUGCAAAAGAAUGAUGCGAGAUCUCUGUCAGACCAUACACAAAACAAUCAAAAUGGAUCAAAGAGCCGGGCGCAGUGGCUCACGCCUGUAAUACAGCAUUUCAGGAGGCUGAGGCAGGAGAAUUGCUUGAGCCCAGGAGUUUGAGACCAGCCUGGGCAACAUGGCGAAACCCCGACUCUACUAAAAAAUAUAAAAAUUAACCGGGCAUGGUGGCACAUGCCUGCAAUCCUCCCAAAAUCGGGAGGCCGAGGCACGAGAAUUGCUUGAACCCAGGAGGUGGAGGUUGCAGUGAGCUGAGAUCAUGCCACUGUACCCCAGCCUGGGUAACAGAGAGAAACUGAUCUUGGGUCAGAGUUAGGCAAUGGUUUCUUAGAUAUGACACCAAAAACACAAGUGACAGAAGGAAAGAGAUAUAAUUGGACUUCAUGAAAAUUUUAAAAAUGUGUGCUACAAAUGAUGCCUUCAACAGAAUGAAAAGACAGCACACAGCAUAGGAGAAAAUGUUUGCAAAUCAUAUAUCUGAUAAGGGGCUUGUGUCCAGAAAUCGUAAAGGACCCCUACAACUCUAUAGUAAAAAGAUAAAUCGGCCGGGCGCAGUGGCUCACGCCUGUAAUCUCAGCACUUUGGGAGGCCAAGGUGGGUGGAUCACCUGAGGUCAGGAGUUGGAGACCAGCCUGGCCAACAUUGUGGAACCCCGUCUCUACUAAAAAUACAAAAUUAGCCAGGUGUGGUGGCAGACACCUGUAAUCCCAGCUACUCGGGAGGCUGAGGCAGGAGAAUUGCCUGAACCCGGGAGGCAGAGGUUGCAGUGAGCUGAGAUCGCGUCACUGCACUCUAGACUGGUGACAGAGCAAGACUCUAUCUCAAAAAAAAAAAAAAAAAAAGAUAAAUCACCCAGAAUGGACAAAGGAUCUUGGCAGACAUUUCUGCAACAUUUCUGCAACAAAAACAUGCAAAUGACCGGCCAGGCAUGGUGGCUCAUGCCUGUAAUCCCAGCACUUUGGUAGGCCAAGGCGGGUGGAUCACCUGAGGUCAGGGGUUCGAGACCAGCCUGGGUAACCUGGUGAAACCCUGUCUCUAUUAAAAAUACAAAAAAAAACUUAGCUGAGUGUGGUGGCGGGCGCCUGUAAUCCCAGCUACUCCGGUUGCUGAGGCAGGAGAAUCUCUUGAACCCGGGAGGCAGAGGUUGCAGUGAGCCGGGAUUGCACCAUUGCACUCCAGCCUGGGCAACAGAGCAAGACUCUGUCUCAAAAAAAAAAAAAAAAAAAAAAAGCAAAAAACAUGCAAAUGACCAACAAGCACAUGAAAAGAUGCUCAAUGUCAUUAGUCAUUAGUGAAAUCCAAAUCAAAACCACAAUGAGAUAAAGUUUCACAUCUAGUAGGAAGACGGUAAUAAAAAAAGACAGACAGUAACAGGAUGAGGGGAAGCCAGAAGACUCAUGUAUUGCUGGUGGGAAUGUAACAUGCAGAAUGUAAAAAUGGUGAAGCUGUGCUGGAAAAUAGUUUGGCAGUUCCUCAAAAUGUUAAACACAGGGUUAUAUGGCCCAGCAAAUCCACUCAUAGAGAAACCCACCCAAGAAAUUAAGGCAUAUAGUCACGCAAAAAUUUGCAGGUGAAUGUUCAUAGCAUAUUCAUUUAUUUAUUUGUUUAUUUUUAUUGAGACAGAGUCUCAAUUUAUCACCCAUGCUGGCAUGCAGUGGGGCGAUCCCAGCUCACUGGAACCUCUGCCUCCCGGGUUCAAACAAUUCUCCUGAGUAGCUGGAUUACAGGUAUGCGCCACCACAUUUGGCUAAUUUUUGUAUUUUUAGUAGAGACAGUGUUUCACCAUGUUGGCUAGGCUGGUCUCGAACUCUUGACCUCAAGCAAUCCGCCUAUCUUGGCCUCCCAAAGUGCUGGGAUUACAGAUGUGAGCCACUGUGACCAGCCAUAGCAGCAUUAUUUAUAAGAACUAAAUAAAUCAUGGAAGGAACCCAUAUGACUAUCAGCUGAUGAAUGGAUAAAUGAAAAUGUGCUGUGUGCAUACGAUGGAAUAUUAUUUGGCAAUGGAAAGGAAUGAAGUAGUGAUACAUGGUACAACGUAGAUGGAUGGACUUUGAAACAGUAUGUGAGAUAAGCUGAUGACUACAUAUUAUAUGAACCCAUUCCCGUGAUUUGUUCAGAGUAGGCAGAUCUACAGAGACAAAGUAGAUUAGUGGUUGCCCAAGGCUGGAGGGCAUUGGGGAAUAACUACUAAUGGUACAGGGCUUCUUUCUGGGAUGAUGAAAAUGUUCUAAAAUUAGAUGUGGUGAUGGCUGCACAACUCUGUAAGUAUACUUAAGCCACUGAAUUGUAUGAUUUAAAUGGGCAAAUUGAUGUACGAAUUAUAUCAAUAAAGUUGCUUAAAAAAACAAUAUAUAAACAUUAAAAGAAUCAAAUAUAUAAAAAGG
rnacentral:lncRNA from 1 species